ACGCACGCUGGCGGCAGGCCUAACACCUGCAAGUCGCGCGAGGACUUCGGUCCUAGCGGCGGACGGGUGAGUAACGCGUGGGAACGUGCCCUUUGCUUCGGAAUAGCCCUGGGAAACUGGGAGUAAUACCGGAUGAGCCCUUUGGGGGAAAGAUUUAUCGGCGAAGGAUCGGCCCGCGUUGGAUUAGGUAGUUGGUGGGGUAAUGGCCUACCAAGCCGACGAUCCAUAGCUGGUUUGAGAGGAUGAUCAGCCACACUGGGACUGAGACACGGCCCAGACUCCUGCGGGAGGCAGCCGUGGGGAAUCUUAGACAAUGGGGGAAACCCUGAUCGAGCCAUGCCGCGUGAGCGAUGAAGGCCUUAGGGUUGUAAAGCUCUUUCAGCUGGGAAGAUAAUGACGGUACCAGCAGAAGAAGCCCCGGCUAACUCCGUG
rnacentral:rRNA from 1 species